GUCUCCGUUUGUUACUCUGUGUCCUGGCCUGGUUCUAGUCAUAUAUGCUCCAUGUUUCCUGUCAUCCGUGUAUCAUGUCAAGGCUGCCUGAUCUGUCAGAUAGAGUGCUUCAUUCAGAGACGGUGCAUUCAUCUAAAUUACAGCCACAUUAAGCCUCUGACUUCUGGGACUGUGCCGAGGCCCAGAUGUAUUCCCGCAGGGCAGAGUGGAACAGAUGUAUCUGGCGUGAAGAGGAAGAGGCUGAGAUGAGCAGCUUAACUCGGGAUGCCUUCUGCAAAUCCAAUUCUCAAAUUAGCCAAAAAGUAAUGCUCAUUGUUUACAUUAUG